CAUGAGCCCACUUUCCACUUCUGUUGUAUAAUGUUAAAUGAACUUCCAUAAAUACAGAUUGCAUGCAGUGCCAAACAUUCAUUUGUACCAUUACGACCAUGUUCCUCUUCUCACAGUUUUUGUGACUGACAGUAACAUUGGUGCCCUAGAAGCCAACUAACAGGGAAUGUAGGAGGACUCUGACCUUGUGGACUGACUUUAGUCUGACAUGCAGUUUAUUUUUUAGUUGUUCGGGAAUGGGAAGCGCUUUGUUCCUAGAAUGGAAAUGUUGUUGUUAGAACUAAACCGCGGUUCUCCUAAAUAAGAUGGACAUAGAAUACACUGUCUGUGAAUAAACAAAGAACAAAUUAAUGUUGUCCAUUAAAUCAUCAAUGUAUUUAUUAUAAUUAAUUUAUAAUGGGACGAUUGGAUGGAACUUCUAUCAAAUAAUGGUCAUUUGAAGCGAGUGGAAAGGUUACUUCCUCUCUCCCCUCUGGAAAAUGAUUUAGAUGUUCUUCAUUUUACUGCCAUAGACCAAUACUUCCACUAUGUGAUAUAGUGCUAAAGAUGUGAUCUGUGUCUGAGGAAGUAUUUUGCCAAUGUAUUUAGUCUUUCCACCAGGGGUUUUUCCAUUUAACCACGACUGCCAAGUGUACCGAUUGUUUUGUUGUUGAACUGGAUAGAAGAACAUUGCUGAGCAAAAUUGAUCCUGAACCAUUUUUUGCCAACAGUGGUGUUGUACAGAGAAAGCCAGCGUAGACGUUUCAGAUGAAUGGAUAUUUCCUGACUAUUGAGAACUUCUCUGCCAAUUUGAUUUGAAUCAUCAAACUUCACAGCCUUUAUCUGAAUUAGUAUUGUUUAAGUUUCUAUAAUAUUCUGACUGCCAGAAGUAGUCGCACCAUAGAUAUUAGUUGGCACUCCUUCUCCAUGUUAGGAUCCUGCCACCAUAGAAGUCAUCUACAUGUUUCCAAGGGUUGCCCUGGUGUUAGUCUUGGUACCCCCAUGGACUUCUGUUUAAACUUAGAUAGUUGAGGACAACUUCCAGUAACUUGUUCAUGCUGUAGUGCUUGUAGCUAGAAGGAAGAUGUUAUCAGACUCAAAGUGAACUUUAUCCUGAGUCUCUUAGUAAGUGAAUGUUUUUGAGAUGGAUCUUUAGGACUACCUGCAUGACAUGGGGCUCUAAGACACACCGUAGGGUACCCCAGGGGUCUAUAUUUUUCACUUUACAGUGAUACAUUGUUAGACUCAGCUGCAUACAUAGGAUUGCUUCAUUGUUUGAAAACUUGUUAUUGGAUAUUGAUUAUGUGAUUUUUAUUUUUUCAAAAAUGCAGUUGCAAUUUAUUGAUUCUGAUAAAGCGUUUUGUGUUGAACUAACUAAAGCUGCCAACCCAGUAUCAGUCAGUCGUCUGCCAUGUCUGUUAGACAGACACACCUUUUGGUUUUUGUAUGCUAACCUCUGUUAAUAAAAUGUUUAUAAAGUUUAUUUUCGCCAAAGAUAUGCAAUUGCAUUAUAUAUGGUAUUACAAAAUAAAAAAAAUAUUGUUUUAUCA
ensembl:lncRNA